AUCACUGUACAUAUUAUCACUCGCUUAUUGAAUGUUUUGCAAAGAGUAACUGUUGCUGAGUCAGCUUCUUGUCUGCAUAGAGAAAUCACACACUUGCUACUAUAGCGAGGCCACGAACUCCCUGUGCAGCUGCUUCAUAACCAGAUAAGAGAAACCUUGACUAUGUCCUACUUUGAAAGAGGAAGACAAUAUUAGCAGAUGCAUGUGCUGAGAAAAAUAAAGUUGUGCAAGAGUUAACCACAAUGACCUUUCUGUAACCACCCUGAGGAAAUAAAAGAUAGGAGAAUAGGGAGUGCGGCAGAACAGUUUGGAGCAUGAGAAAGUGUGCACACUUUGUUCUCCUUGCAAGUAAAACUAAUCGCCUGAUUGUUCUUUCUCUGUCUAGUCUUUGUUUUUAUGAAUGUUUUAGGUGUUUCAACCUGACAGCUGUCUCCUCAGAAGCGAUCUGGAGAGAGAGCGAGACGCAUCCUGAUCAUUCUUCUCUUCUUUACCUGCUUUGUACAGAAAGGUUUGGAGGCCAUCGAUCAUCAGGGGUAACAUUGAAAUCACCUCCAACUACCAUAUGAUCAGUGCAUCUUAGCAGGACAUCUGUUGAAACAAAUAACAACUCCAGCCAAACGGUCGGUACCAUGACUGAAGAGGAUUUUAUCUCCCCAUGUUGUGACCAAAACUUCACAUCAGAUUCAUCAGAAUGAGUUUUCUGGAGAAAGAUGCAAUUUGCUUGUGAGUCUUUAAGUUCCCUUUUAUUAAAAGAAUUAAAAGAAAUGUCAGUUUUCAACUGGAACACAGAACACGUGAACAAAGGUAAUUUUUGGCCACAUUGCCUGUCUGGACCUCCAGUCCUCUUGGGUCAGGUCUUCAGCAAAGCGGAUCCCUUCUUCUUUACACACAGGAGAAGCCCUCAUCCGUCUCCAGAUGUCAUCUCUCAGUGUAUUUCUCGCAAACAGACUGACGAUUUGUUGAUGCUUGUUCCCCACCACUCGCCCCACUCUGAGGACAACGUCAACCGCUUCAUCCAUCUUCAGGUCAGGAGCAAUUCUGCCCAGAAGCUCCACCACUUCUGCUCUGAUAUUUUCAUUUAUUUUCUCCUUUUUCCCUUUGAUGCGAAGGUACCAUCGCCUUUUGUAUAUUACUUGAUUCAAUAAGCAGCCUUUAAUGUCAUCAUUAUCCUUUGUGAGUGAUUCAAACUGUUUUUCCAGGUGUUUUAUCUUCGUCUUACACUCUUUCGGCUCCUCUGAGUUAAGCUGCCCUGACUUAGUGAUAGAAGCUAGCAUGGUGCUGAGUUGUUGCAUGUUUGCUAACGUCCUCCAUGCGGUCGUCAACAUGUUUUCCAAGAACAACAAUAGCUUUCAGUAUGGUGUCAAUGGAUGUGUUGGAAUCGUGUUCCUGAGGCGUACCUUUCGCUUUCUUCUCCGUGUGAGAUUUUUCUGGAGUAAUUGAAGUGGUUGUCGACAUUCUGUCCCGUUUGUUGCUACUGUUAGCUGUCUCCAUCGGCAUUGAGUAGUCAUGCUCGCUGUUCAUAUGGGUUGUAAAUGUGAGGUUUUUCGCUGUAGAAGGUUUCAUGCUGUUGUUUUUCUUUUUUUUAUGUUCGGACUGAAUUGAACUUUUUGACAGUACAGGAAGUGGAAUAUAUGACUUCAAAGGCUAUAGCAUCAGGACUUUAUUCAGGAGCUGAGCCGGUGGUGGCGGCAGCGGCGGCUUUCCUUCGAAAUAACCGCAAGCAAGCGCGCCAUUGUGCAUCUAGUUUGUGUAAUUAACAUGUACACCAUAUACGAAAUGUACAAAAAUGUAGCUUCUCCUCGCUCUUCGUAUGGGAUCUUUCUGGAAUGCCGAGGCAGCUGGUGACGUAAAGAGGUCAGCCAGAGUUGGGUCUGUUACCACUAGUUGAAAUGGGUACAGCACCACCUAGCGUACCGGGGUUUGAUAUGCUUCGGCCAGCAAUUCGAUUUUUUCUCCAGCGUGAUACUCGGACAAUUGCAGUUGUCUGACUGAGUAGCAUAGUCGAACCAUGACUGUAAUCCGACUAAGCUGCGCAUGUAAAUGCACUGAGUGUUUCCCAUACGUUAAAGAGACUGUGGAUGCCCACCAUAGUCUAACUUGACCCGCCAUAGUCUAAAUAUGUGGAAUGUGAAAAAAUAUUUCUGCCUUUCCGACGCAAACCGACGUUUCAGUCAGUCUCUUUUGUUUGGAUUACCUUUAAUGACUUCAGUAGGCUACUGCUAAUUCAGGGCUGUAUUAGUGAAAAAAUAAUAAAAACUAGACAAUUCCCCGCCGGGAAAUCGCGAGAAUGGGCGGUGCUCUUUGCCCUGUGACGAAAAAACUAUGAAAGCUAAAGCAAAAUCCCACGUUGAUAAUUUGGACUUUUAUAUACAUUUUAAACUUUGAAUGGUGUGUCCAGGUUAAAGUAUGCCAGAGAUGUCGAUGUUUGAAAAACAAAGUUUCAUUUUUUUCACCCAGCCCCAUUCACUGUCAAUGGGAAAUGAGGAUUGUCAGUGCUAU